AGAUCCUGGCUCAGAUUGAACGCUGGCGGCUUGCUUAACACAUGCAAGUCGAACGGCAGCACAGCCAAGCUUGCUUGGUGGGUGGCGAGUGGCGGACGGGUGAGGAAUACAUCGGAAUCUGCCCGGUUGUGGGGGAUAACGUAGGGAAACUUACGCUAAUACCGCAUACGACCUAAGGGUGAAAGCGGGGGCUCGAAAGACCUCGCGCGAUCGGAGGAGCCGAUGUCCGAUUAGCUAGUUGGUGGGGUAAAGGCCUACCAAGGCGACGAUCGGUAGCUGGUCUGAGAGGAUGAUCAGCCACACUGGGACUGAGACACGGCCCAGACUCCUACGGGAGGCAGCAGUGGGGAAUAUUGGACAAUGGGCGCAAGCCUGAUCCAGCAAUGCCGCGUGGGUGAAGAAGGCCUUCGGGUUGUAAAACCCUUUUGUCCGGGACGAAAAGCCAUGGGUGAAUACCCUAUGGUUCUGACGGUACCGGAAGAAUAAGCACCGGCUAACUUCGUGCCAGCAGCCGCGGUAAUACGAAGGGUGCAAGCGUUAAUCGGAAUUACUGGGCGUAAAGCGUGCGCAGGCGGUUCUUUAAGUCUGAUGUGAAAGCCCCGGGCUCAACCUGGAAUGGCAUUGGAGACUGGAGGGCUGAGUGCGGUAGAGGAUGGUGGAAUUCCCGGUGUAGCGGUGAAAUGCGUAGAGAUCGGG
rnacentral:rRNA from 1 species